GGCUCUUUGGUGUUAGAAAUAAAGAGUCGGACCUGCCCGGUGAAUGUAAUAAACGGUUGCAACGAGAGUUGUACGAAGGUAGCGUGAUAAGUUGUCUUUUAAUUGGAGAAUGGAAUGAAGGGUUUGACGUGAAAUUUCUUUUUUUAUAAAAGGUACUAAAGUUUCCUUCUAAGUGAAAAGGCUUAGGUUUUUGAAAAAGACGAGAAGACCCUGUCGAACUUGAUUAAGAAUUGCUGGUUAUAGAUAUUUGAAAGUUUUAUUGGGGCAAUAUUAACUUAAAAAACAGUUAAUUUAUUCAUAGAUCCUUUUUGAAAGAAAGAGGAAAAAGUUACCGCAGGGAUAAC
rnacentral:rRNA from 1 species